rnacentral:rRNA from 1 species
UACGAAGGGGGCUAGCGUUGUUCGGAAUUACUGGGCGUAAAGCGCACGUAGGCGGAUCGAUCAGUCAGGGGUGAAAUCCCAGGGCUUAACUCUGGACUGGCUUCCGAUACGGGCAGACUAGAGGUAUCAGGGGAGAACGGAAGUUCCUGGUGUAGCGGUGAAAUGCGCAGAUAUCAGGAGGAACACCGGUGGCGAAGGCGGGUCUCUGGGCCGAAACUGACGCUGAGGAGCGAAAGCGUGGGGAGCAAACAGG